UGGGUGAUUUUUUAUUAUGAUAUAUAUAAAAUAUUCAAGAUGUAGGUAAUUAACAAUAUUCAAUUGGGGCUCUUUUAAAAGAUAUCAGAUAAGUCCCAAAAACAACCCCGACACAUUUAAAAUUUGAACUUGCUAUGGAUAUGCAGGCAACAACGGAUGUCUUCUCUCCUGAACAAAUUUACAUUGGAUGCAGAUGAAAUAGUUCCAAAUAGUUCUUGACAUCGAAUAGUGCAGAUUUAUUCUCUGGAGACUUGCAUUGACUGUUGGAUUUAGG
rnacentral:lncRNA from 1 species